rnacentral:misc_RNA from 1 species
UAGCUUUCGAGUGGUUUUGCUAUGUUGUGGUGUACAGGCCCGAGGCGGGCCGUGUUUCAUAACGCACCGUCAGUCUACCCUUUCACCAAACCGUUCCAUGACACUCCCUAUGACCAGGAUCGCGGGCGCUUUGAUAAGGCAAAGAGCAUUCUACGAGAGAACAAAUGGCCUGCGUGGAUGGACCAUGGCGCCGAUGGAACGGGGUUCGGUAUUGGGCUGAAUCGCACACACCCACUCUCUAAACUUCGUGGCAACCUUCGGCGAAACCCCAGCGAAAUCCCACGUGUGCUAAAUAUGAUGAUUCAGGGUGUGUGGCACAAAAGCGGUAACAAGCUGUAUUUUCGAGGCGGCAAGCCGCCGAAUCCCAGCACUCAUCCGUAUCUUACUGGUGAACCAUGCCCAGUGUACGGAUGGAAAGUCACAGACCCGGGAGUGAUUAGAGAGUUCAAUCUUCCACAGUUGGAGAAGAACAAAACAAGGUACAAGCCGUACGUUGCGCUGCAGGAGCGCAAGAUCAUGGGCAUGCAGGCCCCCAUGAAAGAGCAUAGUGCUGUGCCUACUUCAGCAGAGAGCACUGAUUCGAAGCCGCUGAUGAAGCGCCUCUUUUUCUGGAAGUGAGAAUCGCUGCCUUGUCGUUGAGGCUAAUACGCUUACGUAUCACACAUUUGUGGGUUGGACACAGCCCCCUUCCCGAAAAAAAAACCGCACGAAUACAUACGGCACACUGCCACAAUACUCUGCCAAGGUUCGUCGCGGAGGGAAAUAGGAAGUGGCGCUUUAAAAAGUAAUCACUCCUGUUUGUGUAGUGCCUCUUUCGAAUCGGCUGUUUUUUUUUUUUUUGCAGCGCUCAGUUGGUCGCCCUUCGUUCUCACCGUUCAGCUCCCCAGUGGGCAUUGUGCUAUCCACAACUUUGCCUCUCGUCUUCUCCACGUCUUCCUAAAAAAAAAG